GGAGGGAAGGAAUGGGAGUUACAGUUGUGCCUGUUGAUCCAGUGUUGGGCCUGCCCCUCAACAGAUGCUUUCAGGCAAAGGAGAUGAAAUUCAGGGGCAAAGCGCUGGGUACCUUGUCAGUGCCUUUUCAGGUAUUUGGGAGGCUGCGCUGCCUGUGCUACAGAUUCUCCAGGAGAGGCUUGAGAAUCACAGGGACAGGAGACUUCCCCUCGGCUUGUUUUAACAAAGAAUUCUGGAAUUAACCUUGUGGAAGAGAGUGAGGAACUGUGGGCACAAUAACCUGGAGAAAAUAUGAUUUUCCUUGAGAGCAACUAAAAGUGGGAAAAUAGAGAAGAUCCUAAGAUGCAUACCAAAGCAGCUGUCAACAUUGGAAGAAAUUCUGAAAGUAAAAACCAAAUGAAGAAAAGUGCAAUUGUCUUAAGUAUAUUGAUGUGAUUGUACAAGGAAUUCAUUGACGAGUUUAGGUUUUUUAAAAAGACAUGUACAGAAGGUGGAAGCAAGAGCAGGUAACUGAGAAUGCAUAUGGAAGUCCUUUAAGAAUGUGGGGCAGCUAGGUGGUACAGUGGCUAGAGCACUGGCCCUAAAGUCAGGAGGAUCUGAGUUCAAAUGUGAACUCAAAUACUUGAUACUAAAUUAGCUAUGUGAUCCUGGGCAAGUCACUUAACCCCAAUUGCCACCUCUCCUUCCCCCCUCCUAAAAAAAAAGAAUUUUAAGAAUGUGAAAACCCAGAAAAAAAAUGAACCUUUCAAUGAAUGCUAAGAAUAAAGAAGGGGGUGGGUUGCUGAGGGCAAAAAGAUCAGACAGGGACUGGGGAAUACUACUCAGGAUAGGUAAAAUCACGAUAAUAGGUUGUAGAGAAAAGGUAGAACUGUUCAGACUCUUUAUUUUGCUUUUGUUUUUCUUCCAAGGACAGUGAACUUUAGAUUAGGUAUUAUAGGGGGAAAAUAGUUGAUAGGAAUUUGAAACUCAAGAGGGAAUUUGGUAAGAGAGCACCUAGAUGUCUUUAUUGCUAUCAGGAGCAGAUGAACUAUAUUCCAGGAUACUUGAAAGGACUCGAAUAUGUGAUUGAUCUGGGAGUUAUCACAGGAUUUGAGGCAAGCAAAAGUUCUGGUUUUCAAGGAGGCUGGUGAGUUUAUUAUUGAUUUUUUUUUUUUUUUUUUUUUUUUUUUUUGCCCA